GCGGAUGUGGCGGAAUUGGCAGACGCGCACGCUUCAGGGGCGUGUGGCCGUAAGGUCGUGAGGGUUCAAGUCCCUCCUUCCGCA
rnacentral:tRNA from 1 species